GGCGCAGGGUUCCUUCGCCUGUUUCUCCGGGAGCGCCUCCCCUCCCGACGGCGGGCGAUUCGAUUCUUCGUCUCGUCGGUGAUGGCAGCCGAAGGUGUUUCGGCAAGAAGAAGGUGGAGCCCGAGGUGAAGAGCGAUGGGGCUCCGGCUCCAGCAGCGGUGGCGGCUGAAGAGGGGACAAAGCCAGCAGCAACACCUGUGGCGCGAGGCGAGUCUCACUGAAGCGGAGGUGUCGUCCUUGAACUCGUUCGUCCUUGAGUCGAAAAAGUCGGAAAGCCCAUGAUUCAGUCGACUUUUGAGAAACCUGAGAGUUUUUGUGACGAGGUCUUGAUUGUCUGCUUUUUAGUUGUUUUUUUGCCUCCUCAUUUCGUUUCUCCUUUUAGCGCUGGUAGCGAUCGUCCUUCAAAAAUUAUUGUUGUAAGACUUGACAAUCUUUUUUUUCUCAAACUUCUUUAUCACUCUGAUGGUUCAUUUUGUACCUUCA